AUGUGGCACAAGACCGGCAAUACCUUGCCAGUGAUAGUCAAUGGCCGGCAGACGGGCAGCAAAAAGGUUCUGGUGCUGCACGCCAACAAGAACUUCGACCAUUCCGGCAAAAAAAACUUCGACCAGCAGAGGACCAACUGGGUGAUGCACCAGUACCACCUCGGGGACCUGGAGCAAGAGAAGGAGCGGGAGCUGGUCCUCUGCAAGAUUUUCUACCAGACGAACACUAGGGCCAGGACUAAAAAGAUUAUAAGUCGAGCAAGUUUCAACUGGGUUGUAGACUGCCCAGGCUUGGUUUUGUUUUUAACAGGCCUAGCCCAUGAUGACAACGGGGCAUAA
rnacentral:rRNA from 1 species